GAUUUCUGGCUUGAAACAUUUUGCCGGCCACGGUUUCGUGUGUUAGUGCUUGAUGUUCUGGCCAUCCUUCCAAUGGCUGCGCAUCUCUCUUCAUUGAGUGGGUGCGUGGUAUUGGAUCUUUUACUUUGAAAAAAUUAGAGUGUUUCAAGCAGGCAUGUUUUGCUAUGAAUACAUUAGCAUGGAAUAAUAAUCUAGGACUUUCGGUUCUAUUUUGUUGGUGUUCUGGAGCUGAAGUAAUGAUUGAUAGGGAUAGUUGGGGGUGCUAGUAUUCAAUGGCCAGAGGUGAAAUUCUCGGAUUCCUUGAAGACUAACUUAUGCGAAAGCAUU
rnacentral:rRNA from 1 species